AUACGAAAGAGAAGACAGAUCGAGAGAGAGAGAUAGAGAAGAAGAGAUUGAGAGAUGAAGAACAAGAGAGAUCGAGAGAGAGAAAAACACAAGAUCGAGAUUGCAACAGGAGAGAGAAGAGCAAGAGAUCGACACGAGUACGGGUAAGGAAGACAAGAUCGACUUCGCACUUCGACUUCGACUUCGCACUUCGAACUCAAUCACACUUCGACUUUGUCUUGCUGAACUUUGCUUCAACAUUUCAGACGACGUCGUGUAUUGGAUGUUGACCAUGAACGGGGACGAGGGCGUGGACGAGGAUAAGGUCGAGAUUGUGAUCCAGAUCCAGUUUCAAUAGAAUAUGAUAUCCCCAGUGUCAGUCAAAGUCGGAGCCGAAACCAAAGACAAGUUGAAGGUGAUGAUAUGCCUGACAUUGCCGUGAAGGAAGCCCCUUUACUCGAUUCUCCUACUGUUCAGGAAGAGGACCUUACUCAUGCUUUUCCAGGAAUGAAGGCCCCUAAAGUGUCAAAAUCACUCUUCAAAGAUCCUUGCAUGGCCAUGGUGGUCAGUAGACAACAACACCAGAUUUAAAGCCAUUAUUGAGCGGUCUAGGCUGUCACAGUUAGCUCGUUGCACUUAUCGGUUCGUUAACAAGCUUCUAAUCUCCAGUUUUGUUGAAAGAUGACAACUUGAGACGAACACAUUUCAUAUGAUAGUUGGUGAGAUGACCUUGACCUUGGAUGAUGUUGGCACUAUUCUUAGCCUUCCUAUUGUAGGUAGAUCAGUCAGCGUACCAGAUAUGACGAAUCUUCAUGGAGUUACACUACUAGUUUCUAGCUUGGGGAUUACUGAACGUGUAACACAUGACGAGGUUUCUACUAUUGGUGGAAAUUCAGUCAGGCUUGAGUAGUUGCAAAGUCAGUUUGCUGGUGUCAUAGAUUCAAACCCAGAGGAGGCCAUACAGUGCGCUGCUAGAGCUUAUUUGUUGUUUCUGUUGGGAUGUACACUUUUCAGUGACAAGAGUGGCGGUAUGGUUCCUGUUGUUUACCUUGGUUUAUUGAUGAAUUUGGGAUCCAUUCAUACUUACCUAGUCGCAGGCAUACAGAUGAUUCGUGACAUGUUAUUUGUCAGUUGAUGAAUUUUUUGUGGUGUUUUUGUAAGCUGACAUUGCUGUACACAUCUUUUAAUGACAUUAUAAAAGAUAUUUUGUUAUUAGAAUAGAAUGGUAACAAUGGUCGAUGACAUUAUAAAU